rnacentral:rRNA from 1 species
CUCUGUGACUCCUACGGGAGGCAGCAGUGGGAAUAUUGCACAAUGGGCGCAAGCCUGAUGCAGCCAUGCCGCGUGUAUGAAGAAGGCCUUCGGGUUGUAAAGUACUUUCAGCAGUGAGGAAGGCGAGUACGUUAAUAGCGUGCUCGUUUGACGUUAGCUGCAGAAGAAGCACCGGCUAACUCCGUGCCAGCAGCCGCGGUAAUACGGAGGGUGCGAGCGUUAAUCGGAAUUACUGGGCGUAAAGCGCAUGCAGGUGGUUUGUUAAGUCAGAUGUGAAAGCCCCGGGGCUCAACCUCGGAAUUGCAUUUGAAACUGGCAGACUAGAGUACUGUAGAGGGGGUAGAAUUUCAGGUGUAGCGGUGAAAUGCGUAGAGAUCUGAAGGAAUACCGGUGGCGAAGGCGGCCCCCUGGACAGAUACUGACACUCAGAUGCGAAAGCGUGGGGAGCAAACAGGAUUAGAUACCCUGGUAG